rnacentral:lncRNA from 1 species
GGGAGGGGCACAUACCUCGUCCUCAAGCUGCAAGAGGUCCAAAAAUCAAAGCACAUACCUCAUCCUCAAGCUGCAAACUAAAUUUAAACAAAUCUGCAUUCAGUAUAUAAGCAAAAAAAUCAAUGGAACACUUUUGAAACAAAAGAAUGAUGGUAGACUAAUAGGAACCUAUUCCUAGAUUUUGUACCAACCUAUGAUUUAUAAGGGAGGAUUAGUAGAAUCAUACAACUUUUGAUCUUUUACCAUUCAUUCAUCUCACAAGCGAGCACAUGAAAACCCAAUUGGCUAGAACUAUCAGGCAACAUAGCAGUCCAAAAGCUUGACACAUUACCUGCAGAAAAGGUUGUGGCACAUUGUGUGAACAAUCUGGCAGCAGACUGGAAAAUAUCAUGAUAAAAGAUCCAAUAAAGUUGUGGAAUUGUCAACAUCAAGGCUCCUUUAAUAUGCU